CGGGCUGCUCCAGCAGUGAGGAAUAUUGCACAAUGGGGGAAACCCUGAUGCAGCAACGCCGCGUGGAGGAUGACGCAUUUCGGUGUGUAAACUCCUUUUAUGAGUCAAGAAAAUGACGGUAGCUCAUGAAUAAGCACCGGCUAACUCCGUGCCAGCAGCCGCGGUAUAUGGAGGGUGCAAGCGUUACUCGGAAUCACUGGGCGUAAAGGACGCGUAGGCGGGAUGUCAAGUCAGGUGUGAAAUCCUAUGGCUCAACCAUAGAACUGCACUUGAAACUGGCAACCUAGAGUAUGGGAGGGGGAGAUGGAAUUAGUGGUGUAGGGGUAAAAUCCGUAGAUAUCACUAGGAAUACCGAAAGCGAAGGCGAUCUCCUGGAACAUUACUGACGCUAAGGCGUGAAAGCGUGGGGAGCAAACAGGAUUAGAUACCCUCGUAGUC
rnacentral:rRNA from 1 species